AUGGGCCCUGAUGAUGAUGAUGGGCACAGGGAUAUGAUGAUGCUGAUGAUGGACACAGGGAUGACAAUGAUGGACACAUGGGCCCUGAUGAUGAUGAUGGACACAUGGGCCCUGAUGAUGAUGAUGAUGGACACAGGGAUGCUGAUGAUGAUGGACACAAGGAUGAUGACGAUGACCACGCCAGCCCUGGUGAUGAGGAUGGACACAGGGAUGGUGAUGCUGAUGGACACACGGAUGAUGAUGAUGGACACGGGGAUGCUGAUGCUGAUGGACACACAGCUGGUGACGAUGACCGGGCCGUGCCAUUCCCGGGCCAUGCCGGGCCGUGCCCGUGUGCCGUGCCCGUGUGCCGUGCCCGUGUGCCGUGCCCGUGUGCCGUGCCGUUUCCGUGCUGUGCCCGGCCGUGCCGUGCCGUGCCGGGCCGUGCCCGUGUGCCGUGCCCGUGUGCCGUGCCGUGCCCGUGUGCCGUGCCGUGCUGUGCCUGUGCCGUGCCGUGCCGUGCCCGUGUGCCGUGCCCGUGUGCCGUGCCCGUGUGCCGUGCCAUUUCCGUGCCGUGCCCGGCCGUGCCGGGCCGUGCCCGUGUGCCGUGCCCAUGUGCCGGGCCCGUGUGCCGUGCCCGAGUGCCGUGCCCGUGUGCCGUUGCCGUGCCGUGCCGUGCCCGUGUGCCGAGCCGUGCCGUGCCCGUGUGCCGUGCCCGUGCCGUGCCCGUGUGCCGUGCCCGUGUGCCGUGCCGUGCCCGUGUGCCGUGCCCGUGUGCCGUGCCCGUGUGCCGUGCCCGUGUGCCGGGCCCGUGUGCCGGGCCCGUGUGCCGGGCCCGUGUGCCGUGCCCGUGUGCCGUGCCGUGCCCGUGUGCCGUGCCCGUGUGCCGGGCCCGUGUGCCGGGCCGUUUCCGUGCCGUGCCGUGCCCGUGCCCGUGCCGUGCCGUGCCCGUGUGCCGUGCCCGUGUGCCGUGCCCGUGUGCCGUUUCCGUGCCGUUUCCGUGCCGUGCCGUGCCGUGCCGUGCCGUGCCCGGGUUUCCCC
rnacentral:lncRNA from 1 species